rnacentral:rRNA from 1 species
UACGGAGGGUGCAAGCGUUGCUCGGAAUUAUUGGGCGUAAAGGGCAGGUAGGUGGUCUCAUUUGUCUGGGGUGAAAGCCUUGAGCUUAACUCAAGAAGUGCCCCAGAAACGGUGAGACUGGAGUCCUGGAGAGGGUCGUGGAAUUCCCGGUGUAGCGGUGAAAUGCGUAGAGAUCGGGAGGAACACCAGAGGCGAAAGCGGCGACCUGGACAGGUACUGACACUCAACUGCGAAAGCGUGGGGAGCAAACAGG